GACCUUCUGGCGCAACGGUAGCGCGUCCCUAGAAAUUGUGUCCUCCUGACCCUUUUCAGGGGAGGGCGUCGGUUCGACUCCGGCAAGGGUCA